rnacentral:rRNA from 1 species
CAGUCGUACCGACGAGAAAUCAACCUUUCGAGUGCGAACCUGUGGGCGUGCGUGAGUCUUUAACGGGCCUCGCUGUUUGCAAUGUUUGUGCUUUUGGGGUGUUACUUUUUCCGUAUGGUAGGCCAACGUCAGUCUCGGUCACCAUAAAAUGAUCGGAGGAAUGGUAGCUUCGAUCUCGUUAUUGAAGUUGUUAUAG